rnacentral:rRNA from 1 species
GACGAACGCUGGCGGCGUGCUUAACACAUGCAAGUCGAACGAUGAAGCUGGAGCUUGCUCCGGUGGAUUAGUGGCGAACGGGUGAGUAACACGUGAGUAAUCUGCCCUUGACUCUGGGAUAACUGCGGGAAACUGUAGCUAAUACCGGAUACGACACCUUCGGGCAUCCGAUGGGUGUGGAAAGAAUUUCGGUCAAGGAUGAACUCGCGGCCUAUCAGCUAGUUGGUGAGGUAAUGGCUCACCAAGGCGACGACGGGUAGCCGGCCUGAGAGGGGGACCGGCCACACUGGGACGGAGACACGGCCAAGACUCCUACGGGAGGCAGCAGUGGGGAAUAUUGCACAAUGGGCGAAAGCCUGAUGCAGCAACGCCGCGUGAGGGAUGAAGGCCUUCGGGUUGUAAACCUCUUUUAGUUGGGAAGAAGCGAAAGUGACGGUGCCAACAGAAAAAGCACCGGCUAACUACGUGCCAGCCGCCGCGGUAA